UUUGAACUGCAAGAUCAAAAAAAUCAAUUAAACACUUCUCUCAUACAUUUUAAAUGACAUGGAGGACAUGGUGCUAACAGAAACCGAGACUUCAGGUAAUAAAGUUGUGCUUCUUCAUUUUAAAAUAACAUCUGAUAUCACCAGCAACACAGUUAAGUAUGUGCACAUUACUCACAGAAGGUCUAAUUCUACUGUUGACUGAAAUACAGCUAUUUUCAGCCUCAGAUACCAAUAAUGAAUGCCUCUAUCAUUAAGGAGAAAUUAUGUUAGUUAAGCUAAUUUCAGAAUGUAACCUAGUUUGGGACAACAAAUUUAUUUAUUGCUUUCUUCAUCUUUGCAUUCAUGGGAAAAAUGGUUAUUUUCAGAAUUCAAACAUUCAAAUAUAGGAAAAUCUCAUUACUUUGAGAGAGGAGAGCAGUCUAAAUUACAAGGUUGAACUAGACUAUUUUUAAAGAAAAUCAAUCAUUUUCUCCUAUUUACAAAAAGUCAAAAUAGGCUCAAGAGGUAUUUUCCUGGCAGAAGUGCUGUAUUAAUUAACUGAGACAAAUAAAAGAAGUUACCCUCCAUUUGAACCCUUGGUAGAAUAACAGGGGUUCUAUCAGCAAGCCCUGCCUCAUUCGCAGCUAGGGGACCCCGACGGAUGUAGAAUGAAAGCUCUGUUAAAAUGACUGAAAAAUGAUCACAGCUUAAAAAUGGUACCCAAGGCAGCUCCCCUUUGAAAUCACUUUAGAAGGAGUAUAUACUCACCAAGGGUAUUGUUUACCAAACUGAAGGUGCAAUGCUUGCAGUAUUUUGUCUUGGGUAUCAGCAUCCCGGACAUGAAGGACAUUCUCCCCUAGGUGAACCCAGUGACGCAUUACAAUGAUUUGAAAGUGGAAACAUCCAAAGAAUAAAGAAAUUAGCAAUUUGUUAUGCUGUGCUCAUAAUUAACCCUGAAACCCAGAGGACUUCAAAAGAGUCCAUUAGAGCAACAUCAACUUUUCUCCUUUAUAUGUUUUAAAGCACUCUCAGAAAGAUUUCCAUGUAUCAAAUACUUAAGAACACUAGGGUCCUUUAUUCCCAAAGAGAAUAAAUGAAGUUCUUAUUGAUUUAUUGAAAUAAAUGAUAUGCAUGAAUCCAGCACCUGCAUACCCCUCCCCGCCCUAGUCAUCCAGUGUGCCUACUCUCUCCAUCCACCUGCCUUCCAUCUACUCAGCUGGCUGGUUAACCACUUUGUUUCUACGUAUUUUCUGACCAAUGUGAUGGAGUCAAUACAGUGAAAAUGGCCAUAUUUUUCAAUAGUUCUGGCUAAGAAGAGAAGAGUGGGAGCCAGAAAGAGGAGUGGGGUUGUUCUUUCUAAGAUGUGAGAGGCUGAGGAAUGUUUCAGUGAGAAGGAGGCUGAAGAUCCAUGGCAGAGAAAGGAUGCCCCUGAGUUCCUAGAAAAGGCAGGAAGGGUGGGGAUCUAGAACAUAGGUGGAAGGCUGAGCAGUGGAGUGGGCAGGACAGAGAGAUGCCACACCCUCCAAAGUAAGUAGGUGAGAACAAAAGGAUGGACAGGCAUUGUGCUUAUCCAAGUGUGGUGACACAACAUACAAGACUGCCUUUGACAACAGAAGAUCCACUGCAAAUCCAGUGUUCAACUGUUCGCACAGUCCUUCAGCUCUCCGCAGAGUCAACUCCAUCUCUUCAAAACAAUUUCUUUUCUGGGCUUUACUGCUAUCACCCUCCUGGAUUUCCUCUGACCCCACUGGCAUUUUCUUUUCAGUCUUCCUUGCCGGCCCCUUCCUCCUCACUGGAACUCUGAAUGCUGAAGGGCUCCAGCCGCUGGUCCUGGGCUCCAUUCUCUUCCCUAUUUACAUGUCGCCCCUGGGCAAUCUCAUGUAGUCCCUUCGUUUGAAAUGACAUCUCUGGCAGAGGACACCAUUAUCCUCCACAUCCUUUCUCUGUACUUGUAACAGAAUUUUUAGCUGCACAUCUAAUAACUGAGCUAAAGACUAUAUUCUUCGGCUUUCCUACAGCUAGAUGUGACCCUGUGACUAUAUUCUGAUAGGAUAUGUGAAGAAAUAUUUGCAACUUCCAAGUUGUGCUUUAUAAGGAAGGACACCUUUCCUCUCUUCCUUCCCAAUGGCUAAAAUGUGGACCUGACAGCAAGAGUUGGAGCAUCUAUCAAGAAGACAGACAGAGGCUAAUUCUCUGAUGACCAUGGAGCUAUAGCAAUGAGAAAGAGAAUCUAACUUAUUUAGACACUAUUAUUUUGGGUCUCUCUGUUAUAGCAGAUGAACGGAUAUCUUAACUACACACCAUCCACAUAUCAAUCACUCUCAAAUUUCUAUCUCCCAACUCUGACUCUCCAUACAACUAUCAGAGCUGCUUGCUUGCCAUGUCCACUUUGAAAUCUGAUAGGCAUCUCAAAUUUAACAUGGCUACUGGAGAACUCUUAAUUCCACCCUCCCAAAUGUGUUCCUCCUGCAGUGUCCCCUAUGUUAGGAAAGAGUACCCCACUGCUCAAUCCAAAAAUCUAGAAGUUUUUUCCUUUCACUGCUCACAUCCAAGCAGCAGCAAGUACUCUAACAAACCCCAGACCUAAAUUUUGUCCCUCUCUGUUAUUACCAGGUACUCUAAGCCACUAUCAGCUCUCAUAUGAACUGAAACUCUUAAGUGAUCUCCCUGCUUCCAGUCCUGUCCCACCAUACUCCACUCUGCACGGAGCAGCAGAGUGGUCUUUCCAAAAUGCAAGUCACAUCGUGUCCUCCUCCCAUAAAUGGCUUCCCAUGAUACUUAGAAAUACAUCCCAGAUUAUCUAACCUGGCUUACGGAGGUCUGCUUCCUUCUCUAACAUCAUCUCCUAUCACUCUUCCUCUUGCCUACUACCCUACAGCUACACUGGCCCUUCGAUUUCUCAGCCACAUCAGGCUUGUUCCCAUCUUAGGGUCUUCGCACUGGCUGUUCCCUCUUUUCCUCCCUGAUCCUCACAUAGCAGAUUCGUUGUCACUUGGGUCUCAGCUUUAGUGUCAUCUCAACGAGGCCUUGUCAUCUAAUGUAUCCCAUCAUACUACCUGUGUUACAGGCUACACAGCACCCAGAAGGUCUGAUACUUGAUUUUUGGUCUAUCAUCAAUCUCCCCUCCCUCUAGAAUAAAGUUACAUGAGAGCUCAGCCCGGGUUAGUAUAAUGUACUGCCAAAUCCCAGUGCCUAAACACAGUAGGUGCUUAUUAAAUAUUUUCUUAAUGAAUGAAGUUGAAAGAAUUUCCAUUCACUGGGUUGUAUUUUCUCUGUGAAGUGGGGAACAAAGUAGUACAUUGGGAACGAAAGAGGAAGAAGACCUAAAGGUAAUAGAAAAUUAGGCUAGUGGGGCGCCUGGGUGGCUCAGUGGUUUAAGCCUCUGCCUUCAGCUCGGGUCAUGAUCUCAGGGUCCUGGGAUCGAGCCCCACAUCGGGAUCUCUGCUCAGCGGGGAGCCUGCUUCCCCCUCUCUCUCUGCCUGCCUCUCUGUCUACUUGUGAUCUCUGUCUGUCUAUCAAAUAAAUAAAUAAAAAUCUUAAAAAAAAAAAAAAAAGAAAAUUAGGCUAGCAACUACAUACACAGAAAGAGCAGAGCUGGAAUGAACCUCUCUGAUUCUAGUCUAGUUCUUUACCCCCAGAGUACAUAUACUUCCAUUAGCUACAGAAAUAUAUUUGGAUGGAUAUUAUUAGAACUUGGACUAAUAUUAAUAAGAUCUAACUCGACCAGCAAAUUCAUUAAUAAUUAUCCUUCUUACACUUCUGUUAAGGGGGCAUCUUAUUUAGAAUUUCCAUGCUCUAAAGUAUUCAUUAAAGGAACUCUACUGCACCCACAAAUGAAGGACUGGCAUUCAUAUACUUACAACACAAUCAUUCCAUCUCAAACACAGCCAUCAAAGACCAUAAUCAGCUAAGAAAAUCUUAGCUCUGACAUUAUAAAGACAAUAAAAAUGUUAAGUGGAGGCCUAAAAAAAUUGAUAAUCACAUUGUGUUAUUUAUAGAUUUUAGGCGACCACUGGCCAUUUACCUCAUUCACUCACUUGUUCAUAAAAGUGCAUUCCAGCAAACCUUGUAAUAAUUCAAAUACAUGAUCAAAAAAAAGUCACAGAUGGGGGUGCCUGGGUGGCUCAGUGGGUUAAGGCCUCUGCCUACGGCUCGGGUCAUGAUCUCAGGGUCCUCCUCUCUCUCUCUCUGCCUGCCUCUCUGCCUACUUGUGAUCUCUGUCUGUCAAAUAAAUAAAUAAAAUCUUUAAAACAAAACAAAACAAAACAAAUGUCACAGAUGUAUAAGGGGGAGCUCAUAUUUAAUGCCUCUCUCCUCACACUUCCCUAGCUACUGCCUACACCAACGGAGGCCAAGUUGCUAAUCCGACUGGUCAGACAGCAGGACAGCGACCACACUGUGUUCACCAGUGGGCAGGAGCCACUGAUUCCAUAUAUAUUUCUAGUCUGCUGAGACACAAACUGAGAUAGAGAUCACAGGUAGGCAGAGAGAGAGAGAGAAGGAAGCAGGUUCCCUGCCGAGCAGAGAGCCCAAUGUGGGGCUCGAUCCCAGGACCCUGGAACCAUGACCUGAGCCGAAGGCAGAGGCCUUAACCCACUGAGCCACCCAGGCGCCCCUCGAAGUACAAUUUCUGACAUCACUCUGCUUCAUCUCACUCAGCCCUUCUGCACAACACUUUCCAUUAAGAAGAAGAAGAAGGAGGAGCAUACAAAAAGGAGAGACUGAAGUGACAGAAUUUGUUCCAUUGGCAUUAUCUAGACAGGCUCCUUGGUAACUAAUACCUGUGCAAGGGUAAGAAAUACAGAUUGGAUUAACGCAUUAUAGGACAACCCUAUUACUUACUUGUUCUAAUGUGAUCUAAAUUAAAAAUAUACACAAUCACAAGGUACCAGGGUGGCUCAGUCUAUUGAGCUCUUGUCACAAGGUCUCAGGAUCACAAUCUCAUGGGUUGUGGGAUCAAGCCCCAUGUGGGCUCUGCACCCAGCAGGGAGUCUGCCUGAAGAUUCUUUCCCUCUGUCCCUCCCCACACUUGCUAAAAAAAAAAAAAAAUACACACACACACACACACACACACACAGACUCACACACAAUCACUAAAUCAAUUUAUUGUGGCGCCCAACACAGGAUUUGAACUCAUGACCCUGGGAUCAAGACCAGAGCUGAGAUCAAGGGUCAGUGGCUAACUGACUGAGCUACCCAGGUGCCCCACUAAAUCAAUUUUCUAUUGAUUAAUUUCACUAAAUUAUAGAUCUACCUCUUUAAAAAAGGAGAGUCGCAAAUGUUGAAGAAUGAUCUUGAUUUGCUCUUGAUUUGCCCUCUAGAUAGUACUCUUGCUGUAAAUUAAGCAAUGAUGUUGUUUAUCAAACAAUUUUCUUUCCUCUUAUUCGAAAAAGGUAAUUUCCAGGAAGCUAGAUCAUUCAUCAGUGAAGAUUUCAGAACUUAAGGCUAUUUACAGAAAUAAUACUAAUGGUACAACUAUGAUUUUUGCUUUCAUUAUAAUCACCAGAGCCCCUUAUAUUACUAAGUAAUUAUAGCUUACUGGCUUCAAUAUUAUCUAAGUAUUCCAACAAUCUCAUAUGAGAGACGUUAAAAUUAAAAAUAGUUUUAUCAGGGGUGCCUGGGUAGCACAGUUCAGCAUCUGACUCUUGGUUUCAGUUCAGGUUGUGCUCUCAGGGUCAUGGGAUCAGGCCCCGAGUUGGGCUUCAUGCUCAGCAUGGUGUCUGCUUGGGAUUCUCUCUCCUUCUCCCACUCACCCCUCCCCCCACACUCUGUCAAAUAAAUCUUUUUAAAAAAGUAUUUUCAUUCCCCAAAAAACAAAAUACAGGCAAACAAAAACCAAAACAUCCAUAACUCUACUAACCAGAAGUCAACAUUAUAAAUGAUUUGGUAUACAUACUUCUUCAUCUUUCCAUUAUAUUACAGAUUUUAUUAAAAUAGCAUCAUUUAUACAUAUAAUUCUGUAGCUUGCUUUUCCCCCCUUGUUGUUAUAUCAGGAUCUCUCCUUGUAACUAUUUACCCAUAGCAUAUUUAAUGGAUUAAAAGCAUACCAUUCUAUAAACUAUAGCAAAGAUUUUUUAAAAAUUCAAUCCAGUAAGACUAUUCCACAGAAAAGGUGAGUCUCAGAGAGUUGAAGUCAUACCAUAGGGUGAGAUCUAUGAACUAAAACUUUAAUCUUCUGAAUUCUAAUGGAAUAUUCUACAUUCAGUAGUUUCUUAAAAAAAACUGAAACAUAUCCAAACAGACAAAACCACCAUUAGACUGAAUAAAGUUUGAUACGUACCUAACCACAUCCGAAUAAUGCUCAUGUAGUCUUUGUUCUUGGCAGAGAGAAGCUUGUCAUAGGAGGGGCAGCCCGCCAGAAGGAUGCGGUCAUGGUCCUCACACAUGGAUAUCAGGUGUUGCUCUGCACUCCGGGUGCAGCAUACAUGAUAAUGAGCCAGUUUGGUUAUGGCAUGUCUGAUAGAAUCAUCAAUGGUCCCACUGACUUCCCCACCUUCAAUGUGAAGGAUUCGGAUAUUCAUCAAGGCGGCAGAUGUAGCCAGAGCCAGGGCGUCAAACCUGUCUCCGUGAACAAUCAUGAUAUCAGGCUUCAAGCGAUUAAGGACAUCUGGUAGCUUCACUAGGGCCAAGCCCACUGAUUCUACCAUGGCUGCCUCAUCUUCCCCUCUAACAAUUGUGUGCAGCCUGGUGUUAAUGUCGAAGUCAUCUUGUUCAAUCAUGCGGUAUGUGUUCCUAAAGGAGAAAAGAAAUAAAGAUAUGAGAGCAUGUUCAACACAGGGCCAUAAAAACAUAUGAAAAAAGUGAUAACAUCAACCCUGAAGGGAGAAAUAUUUUAUAAAAUUUACUUGUUAAAAUAGACAAACAAGUAUACACAAAAACUAAAAAGCACAGAUCAUAAGUGUAUAGAUUGCUUAUUUUACAUGAAUACCCCAGUGGCCACCACCCAGAUCAAGACAGCACAUACCUGGAUAGAGAAGCACCUGAAGGAGAAUUUUUUAUUAAAACAGAGACCAGAGUUUUUGGUGGUUAACUUCUUUUCUUUCUCCCUGUGUAAAUUUUUUAAAAAGAAAUAUGCUACCUAAUUAAAAAAAAAAGUUACUUAUAAAACCAAAAUGCACUUUUUUAAAAAAAUAGGGAAAUCAGAAUACUGGACAUGUCACUAUACUAUAAAUUUCUGAAUGAUGAAAAUUAUCUUCUGAAUUUGUACUGUACCACUAAUGCAGCAUAAUUUGGAAUGGGAUGUAGAUGUAGGUUUUACAGCAUUAAAAUGAUUUUGAAGGGGUGCCUGAGUGGCUCAGUCAGUUAAGUGGCGAACUCUUGGUUUCAGCUCAGGUCAAGAUCCUUACAGUCCCAAGUUUGGCUCCACAUUCAGCAGGGAGUCUGCUCCUUCUCUCUCUUGCCCCUCCCCCUAUACUUUCUCUCAAAUAAAUUCUUUCAAUUAAAAAAUUUUAAAAUUGGCUAAAAAAUGCAAUUUCAAUUCUCUUUAAUGCUUCAAUAACAGCUGCAAUUCUCAGUGCCUCGAAAUUUUAUAUUAUGACUAGAUUUUAAAAGAUUUGGCUUUUUUCCCUAAAUAUAGAUAUAUUUAGAAUAUAUAAUGUAAUUCUAUAUAGUUGUUAUAAAUAUAUUUUUAAUUGGGAAAUACAUAAAAUUAUCAUCCCUAAACCUGUCACUCAGCAAUACCAAUGUAAAUCAUUUUGAUUUUUUCCUAGCCCCUUUAUGUAUAUUUUAUAAUCUAUUUUAUAACCUAUUUAAUCCAUUUUAUAAUCUGUUUAAUCCAUUUCAUAUAAUAUUUUCCCAGAUCAUGAAAUAUUCUUUACAUCAUUUUACAUCAUAUGGACGGUCUAGUAGUCAUUUUAUAGAUUCCUUGGCAUUUUCCUAUAAAACUAUCAUACUGUCUCUAAACAAAAACAGUCUAUGUUUUCUUGUCUAUUUCUCACUUUAUUACACUGGCUGUUAUAGUCUAGCACAAGCUGAAGAGAGGUGGUAAAAACAAAAAUCUUUACCUUGCUCUCUCUCAGGGGGAAGCUUACUUUUAUGCUAGCUGUAGGUUUUCCCACCGAUGCUCUUUAUCAGACUGGGGGAUUUCCCUUCUAUUCAAAGUCUGCUUAGAGUUUUUUUUAAUAACUGGGUUAAUUUUGUCAAUUUUUUUUGGUAUUUGUUGAGAUGAUCAUAUGUGCUUCCCCUUUAUGCUGUUAAGAGGUGAGUAACACUGAUGCUCAGAUGUUACGUCAAUCUUGAUUUCCCGAGAUCAACCUAUUUGGUCACAAUGUAUUACCUGUUUUUUAAAUUGCUGGAUGUGAUUUAAUAUAUAUUUUUAAAAUUUUAUGUCUAUCCUCAUAAGAUAUACUAGUCUGAAUUUUUUUCUUUGUCAGGUUUUAUUAUCAAGUUUUUUUUUUUUUUUUUAAGAUUUUGAGGGCAAGAGCAAGCACAAGCUGGGCAAGAGGCGGAGGGAAAAGCAGACUCCUUGCUAAAGAGGGAGCCCAACGUAGGGCUGGAUCCCAGGACCUUGGGACCAUGACCUCAGCCAAAGGCAAAUGCUUACCAACUGAGCCAACCAGGCCUCCCAAGAUUAUACUGACUUUAUAAAACAAUCUGGGAAAAUUCCCUGCUUGUCUAUUUUCCAAAAGAGUCUAUGUAAGAUUGGUGUUAUUUCCAAACAGAGGGGGGAAAAAAAAAGACAAACCAAGAAGCAGACUUUUUUUUUUUUUUUUUUUUUUUAAGAUUUAUUUGAGAGAGAAGAGAGAGAAUUGGUGGGGAGGGGGGAUAGCAGGAGAGGAAGAGAGAAACUCAAACUAACUAACUAAACUUUUUUUAGAUUUUAUUUAUUUAUUUGAUAGAUAGAGAGUGUGCCUGCACAAGCAUGGGGAGCAGCAGGCAGAGAGAGAGAAAGAGAAGCAGGCUCCACUGAGCAGAAAGCCCGAGGUGGAGCUCGAACUCAGGAUCCUGGAAUCAUGACCUAAGCCAAAGAACAAUCUCAGAAGCUUAAUCAACUGAGCCACUCAGGUGCCUCUAUAAACUUUUUUUUGUUUUAAAGAUUUUAUUUAUUUAUUUGACAGACAGAGAUCACAAGCAGGCUGAGAGGCAGGCGGGGAUGGAGGGGAAGCAGGCUCCCCGCUGAGCAGAGAGCCAAAUGUGGAGCUCAAUCCCAGGACCCCGAGAUCAUAACCCAAGCCGAAGGUAGAGGCUUAAACCACUGAGCCACCAAGGCACCCCUCUAAACAUCUUUUAAAAAAAAAAAAAAAAAAAAGAUUUUAUUUAUUUAUUUGACAGAGAGAUCACAAGUAGGCAGAGAGGCAGGCAGAGAGAGAGGGGGAAGCAGUCUCCCUGCUGAGCAGAGAGCCUGAUGUGGGGCUCGAUCCCAGAAUCCCGGGAUCAUGACCUGAGCCGAAGGCAGAGGCUUUAGACCACUGAGCCACCCAGGCACCCCUCAUUUCACAUUUUUAAAACCUUUGAAUUUUUGAGCAAUGUGUCAGUUUCUUCUCUACUCUUUGUAAGUAUUUUCUUAGAGAAAAUCGGUUUUUAGAGGCAGGUUUUUGUUUACUUUUGUUGUUCUUGUUGCCUUGCUUUUAAAGAAUACUCUGAAAAGGCAAUUUUACUUUAACACGAGCUUCUUUCAUAUAUAACAUGGUCAUUACUAACCAUCUUGGGAAGCUGCAUUAAUGUUUUUAUGCCACAAGAGUGCACUAAAUGCCACUUUACUACCAAAAACAAACCGAAUGUUCACCUUUGGUUUAGACAUUCUGUUCCCUCUAAGAUUUCCCAACUCUCAUUUUUCAAAUUUAGACUAUGAUAACAAACCUAAUGAUAAACACCAGAAUAAAAACCAAUGACAAUAUAACAUUCUAA